AGCCCCGAAUAGUCCACCUGAUCACAACACUUCAAAUUUCAGGACUACGGACCUGGUGUGUUGUGCUCUACAACUCAGCGACGCAUCGUUCACUACAAGCUACAAGGUGGUCGACUCCGGGAUUCACUAACAAUAUUUAGCAUCGUCAUACCUCGUCACUCCAUUUGUCUGUCACUAAAUUGAAUGAACUACCGACCUGGUGUGUUGAGCUUCACAACUCAGCGACGCAUCGUUCACUACAAGCUUCAAGGUGGUCGACUCUGGGAUUCACUAACAGUAUUUAAGGUCGUCAUAGUUCGUCACUCCAUUUGUCCGUCACUUACUGAACCGAGAGGUGGUGUUUGAUGCUCCGUACCUCCUCACUACGAAAAAUCAUGAAGAUGAACUGGCAUUGCUCAAUAGAUUAAAAUAUGUGAUUCCCUCAGUGUUCUACAAGCCAUUAAACAAUUUGAUUUCCCUCAUCCAUUGGUCCUUCGUAUUCAACUAAGGUUGCGUCGUGUGGCUAGCAAAACCAAAGACGUCUUUUUCUGUUGGAUCACUGGACAUGUUGAUGUGCGGGGCGAUGAACAAGUGGAUGCUGCUGCAUGGU